GAAAGUUUUCAUCCCAAAUCUAGAUUUUUAGGAUUGUUAACUUUUGAGAAACUGUUUCCACAUUAGAGCUCCCCCCAUGUUGCUCUAAAUAUAGUUUAAUAAAUGCACCUACUUUGCUCUAAGCAAACUUAAAGUUAAAACAGAAGUAUGUAUACAAAGACUUUGAUAUUUUUAAUAGUUGGAGUCUGUUUUGCUGAUUUUAGUGUGCAGGUCAGCACAAGGGGCAUAGUGAGCCUGAUGGAUGCUUUCCUCAGGUGAGUGAGUUUCAAAAUCAAAAUUAGGUGCCUGUUUUUUAAAAUUAGAUUCUGCUGCAGGUUUAUAAAUUAGACUUUCAGCCUGCAUGAAUUAGUAGGGAUAUUCUUUUUUUACUUGCAUAAUUGUAAUUGAUUUAAACAUGUAUGUCAGAAUUCACAGGCCCAUACUAACUGUCCUUAAUUUCUUUCCUACAGCAGUACUGCUAUAUGCCAGUCCUGUCUGCAUUCUUAAGGGUGCAGUUCAACACAUCCU
rnacentral:lncRNA from 1 species